GACAAAGGAAAAGGAAACAAAGAGAAGAAAGAAACAAGCAUGAUAGAAGGUGAUGCUAGUAACAGCUAUGAUAAAAGAAGAAAGAAGAUAUUUGGAAAAGGAAAAAGAUAUGGCUGCCUCUGCUGCUGGAGUUAGAGGAAAGCAACUGUGCUCUGGUGUCUGAGUCCAGUGGAAUGUUCUGUUCAUCCCCAGAAUUCGACGUGAAGUGGGUUACGUAGAGAUAUGCCAGAGCCUCCUCCCUCCCCUGCCUCGUUGUGCCUGUUUAAGUCUCUUUUUCAACUGAGGACCCAAGAAAACAAGUGCCAACCAUUGCAGCAUAACAAAGGAGGUCUUAGAUCAUGUAUCAGGACUGAAAAAGAGAUGCCAAACCAGUUUUGUCAACUUUACCUAAGAUGUAUCUUCAAGUUAUACAAGCAAAGAUUAAGAAUUUGGCCAAAAAAUUGA
rnacentral:lncRNA from 1 species